AGCUCCAAUAGCGUAUAUUAAAGUUGUUGCAGUUAAAAAGCUCGUAGUUGGAUUUCUGUUUUUCUGGGACGGGUCCGCCUCACGGUGAGCACCUUUAGUUCUGGGGGACAUCCUCUCGAAGGCGGGUGGUGCACUUAGGUGUGUGUUGCCUGGAUUCGGGACCUUUACUUUGAAAAAUUAGAGUGUUCAAAGCAGGCGAUGGCUUGAAUAUAUUAGCAUGGAAUAAUGGAAUAGGACUUUUGUCUUAUUUUGUUGGUUUCUAAGACUGAAGUAAUGAUUAAUAGGGACGGUUGGGGGCAUUAGUAUUUAAUUGUCAGAGGUGAAAUUCUUGGAUUUAUGAAAGACUAACUUAUGCGAAAGCAUUUGCCAAGGAUGUUUUCAUUAAU
rnacentral:rRNA from 1 species